CCACCAUUGUCUCUAUCGGUACCCUCACAAAAGCACUGACUUUGAUGCUGUAUUUGGUAAGUGCUAUUUGUUGGCGUAGUUUCAAGUGA
rnacentral:pre_miRNA from 1 species